AUUGAAAGUACCGAGCUCUACGUUUGAAACUUCAACACAGUCAUUCCUUAGUAGCUCGUUGCUACAACUUCUAUUUAGCUCGUUCCGUGCUUACUCACUUCACUCGCUCUCGUUCAGUAGCGGUUCUUCAUUCUUUAGAUAGCCGCGUGAGAGCUCUGAAAUUCCAUUCAGUUCAGGUCCUUAGUUCCAGUCGAAUCGCGAGCAAAGCUCGACACUGCUAGCGAGCGUGAGAGCUCUGAAAUUCCAUUCUGUUUAGGUCCUUAGUUCCAGUCGAAUCGCGAGCAAAGCUCGACACUGCUAGCGACGCUCUACGACAGAGCAUAUCCAUUAUUUCCAUUAUAGAGCCAAUCACACUGCUCUCUCUCUUUCCGGCCGGUAUGUAGAAUCGUCGGAGCGAUCAGAGCAAGCGGUUCAAAGAGCUUCCAAAAGAAUGCCUGUCUGAGAGGGUCUCGUCCGGGAAAAGAAAGGUUAAAGAGUCAGUCGGCUUGCCACGCUUGCCUUACCUCAGAGAUGAAGCCGAAGGAAAAAACCUGA
rnacentral:lncRNA from 1 species